rnacentral:tRNA from 1 species
CAAGAUAUAGUUUAAUAAAAACAUUAAUUUUGGAAAUUAAAUAUAUAUAAUUAUUUUAAAAUAUUUUCUUGA